CCAAAUGUAAAAAGACCAAUAUUUCAUGAAUUUCAAUUAUUAGAAUAAUAUUCUAGUUUUCUAAUUUUCUUUCAACUUGUCAUCCAGCAGUAAAGCUGACAAUCUAACUUACUAUUUGCAAGCGAUUCCGAAUUCAGUUCGUUAACAAACAAGUCGAUCACGAGCUAAAUUUCUCAACUCGAUAUAUAUUUUAGCAAGCUGGGUCGUGCUUANUUUAAUGGAAAGUCAAUAUAUCCUUUAUAUAAAGACAGUACUAAUUCUAUCACCUUCUUAUGUACAUUCUGGUAAAGAAUUAUCUUAUGUUUUAUAUCUAAUGGCAGAAUGUCUGAAAGAGAAAGAAAAAUCAAAUUACCCAUGUUCUAUCACCUUCUUACGUACAUUCUGGUAAAGAAUUAUCUUAUGUUUUAUAUCCAAUGGCAGAAUGUCUGAAACAGAAAGAAAAAUCAAAUUACCCAAGAUUUUGUUGGCGACGUUUAUAUCGCAUUUGGACUUUUCGCUUCUAUAAAUUUUUUUUUUUUUUUUAGAGAUAGGUAGCACGCUACUUGUUUCGUUUAUUUCAUUUAGAAAUAAACUUAGCUGGAAAUGUGAAUCAACUAGGAUUCGAACUUGGGUCUCAGGUACCAACCACCAAGCCCUUUGCUGCUUGCUCUAGGGACAGUCGGUCGCUUCUAUAAAUUGAUCAAGAAUGUAUUCUCUAGCUAUAAUACUCUGCGAGUUGUAUUUUGUUCUGC
rnacentral:lncRNA from 1 species